GGAGUCAUGGAGGAUCUCCUGUGCCUGGGGAUUGCCAAGGUCCAUGGCAGAAGUGUGAGUCCCCAGGAGCCUUCACUCACUCACACUUUCCCUGCUGUAGGGAGCCUCCCCUUGCUCUGCACCAAUCCCAGGUGGACAGCUGUCCUUCCUUACUCCCCUAUGCUCUCCAUGACUCACCACAGCUUCCCUGAUGAAUCCCAACACAGCCUGCUGGAUGAUCAACCUGAAGAGCUUGUGUUCACUCACCACUCUGUCUCCUCUUGUGAAGGCUGCGCACACUAGCUGCUUCUAGUCAGCCAUCUUGGCACUUCAGAUACUUGUUUUCUUAAGUAGAAUUUAGUAACUUGGAAUGGAAUCAUCCAAAACUUAAAAGCAGACAGUUUAACUAUUUUUUAAAAUAGAGGGAAAGAGGUGGAGGGAGAAAGUAAUUCUAGUGAGCCAAGUUCCAUAACUUCAGAGCAUAGAAAUAUUUUUGUCACCUUACCUAUGGUGAAAUUAUUUUACAUGAGGUGUCUUGCUGACAGAAAACAAUGCUUGUUGCAAUAAAACCACUGCCUUGAAACACUACUAUACAUAACUCUUUAACAUUCCUGACAGUUGUUUCCCAACAUGGAUGUAAAGAACUUCAAUGAAAUUCAUCAGACUCAAAUAUUAAGUAAAUAAUUUAAUGAUAGAACACUGAAAUUUCUUUAGACACAGUAUUUUCAAGUUAUAUUUCUGCCUGGAGUACAGAUAUGAAAUAGCACAAACUGUACUCUGAAUUAAGCAAACAGAAUGAAUAAAAAAAAAAUAUUCUCCCAACCUAAGUUUCCGUUCCUCAUUUCCACUUGCCUCAGACUCUUUCUAUUGAACAUAUCUAGUUAAAUCUCUAAUGGACGGCCUGUGGGAAGAUUUACUGCCAACAGGGAUGACUGACUUCUUUCCGGACACUGAGCAGGGGACUGUGGGCUCUGAAGCAGUUUACUUCCUGUGGAAAGCCAGUCCCAUUUCUAUUUUACUUCGAUCCAGGCCUAUUCAGAUAAAGCACCACUCAGUAGCUACUGACCAUUUAAGUAUGGAGAGAAAAGCAAAGUAGAAAAAUGGUUUUCACUUAAAGAAAAAGCAAAUGGAAGACCAGCCAUAAUAGCUCCAUGGCACAAGAGACAUGACAGGGAUCUCCUCCCCAGAUGUCCCCUGAUGUUUGUCAGCCUCUCAUAUCCCUGGCCCUCUGGCUUCUGGCUCUGUGAUUACAGUUGCCACAGAGGAUUCAUGGACAGCAAAAAGCUUAAGGAACCUGGAGGUUUUGUACAACAUGUACAUUCUGCUGACAGAAACACAUACAUGGUAUGGACUAUUAUUAAAAUUGAUAGCCUGCUUGCACUCAGUAUACAGGCUGCUUAGGAACACUUUAUUGGGAGAUACCCUGCUGGUGUUGGAGCAGCACAAAAUGAUGAGGCUAACUUAAGUAGUGACAAGAAUGAUCCUCUUAUACCAUAUGGCCAAAGAACAGCUGUCCAUCCCCAAGUCUAUGGGGGAUCAGAUGAAGUGUGGAGUUUGGUUGGUUGGUCAGUGAAUUUUUGGUCAGUGAAUACAUACAUAUGGCAUAGUGAAGUACAAUUGCUUUUCUUUUCUUUUUUUUUUUGAGAUGAAGUCUCGCUGUGUCACCCAGUCUGGAGUGCAGUGGCACAAUCUCAGUUCACUGCAACCUCUGCCUCCCGGGUUCAAGCGAUUCUCCUGCCUCAGCCUCCUGAGUAG
rnacentral:lncRNA from 1 species